AAUGAACGCUGGCGGCAGGCCUAACACAUGCAAGUCGCACGAGUGGCGGACGGGUGAGUAAUGUCUGGGAAACUGCCCGAUGGAUGGGGCUAACUACUGGAAACGGUAGCUAAUACCGCAUACCAUCGGAGUUGCACAGAUGGUCUUAGCUAGUAGGUGGUGGAACGGCUCACCUGGGCGACGAUCCCUAGACGUUUUGAGAGGACGACCAGCCACACUGCGACUGAGACACGGCCCCGUCUCCUACGGGAGGCAGCAGUGGGGAAUUUUGUACAAUGGGGGAACCCCUGAUCCAGCCAUCCCGCGGGUGCGAUGAAGGCCUUCGGGUUGUAAAGCACUUUUGGCAGGACAGCGGUACCUGCAGAAUAAGCACCGGCUAACUACGUGCCAGCAGCCGCGGUAAUAC
rnacentral:rRNA from 1 species